rnacentral:rRNA from 1 species
AGUGAACGCUGGCGGUAGGCCUAACACAUGCAAGUCGAACGGCAGCACAGUAAGAGCUUGCUCUUACGGGUGGCGAGUGGCGGACGGGUGAGGAAUACAUCGGAAUCUACUUUUUCGUGGGGGAUAACGUAGGGAAACUUACGCUAAUACCGCAUACGACCUACGGGUGAAAGCAUGGGAUCUUCGGACCUUGCGCGAUUGAAUGAGCCGAUGUCGGAUUAGCUAGUUGGGGGGGUAAAGGCCCACCAAGGCGACGAUCCGUAGCUGGUCUGAGAGGAUGAUCAGCCACACUGGAACUGAGACACGGUCCAGACUCCUACGAGAGGCAGCAGUGUGGAAUAUUGGACAAUGGGCGCAAGCCUGAUCCAGCCAUACCGCGUGGGUGAAGAAGGCCUUCGGGUUGUAAAGCCCUUUUGUUGGGAAAGAAAAGCAGCAGGUUAAUACCCCGCUGUUCUGACGGUACCCAAAGAAUAAGCACCGGCUAACUUCGUG